rnacentral:rRNA from 1 species
UAGAUACCCUGGUAGUCCACACCGUAAACGAUGAACACUAGGUGUCGGGAGGAAUCUCGGUGCCGGCGCAAACGCAAUAAGUGUUCCGCCUGGGGAGUACGUUCGCAAGAAUAAAACUCAAAGGAAUUGACGGGGACCCGCACAAGUAGCGGAGCAUGUGGUUUAAUUCGAAGCAACGCGAAGAACCUUACCUAAGCUUGACAUGGGGAUGAAAAGCGAUGUAAAGUCGUAAUAGUAGCUUGCUACACAU